AUCUCACACUUGCCAGCCCUUGCCAAAGCAGUAGCACAAUGGUGUGUUACUUGCUGACAGCGCAAUGUGAGGCAAGGCCCCACGGUUCCACCCAGCAUACAAGCUUAUGGAGCGGCUCCUUUUGAGGGUCUUCAGGUGGAUUUCACAGAAAUGCCAAAAUGUGAAGAUCUUAUUCCUAGGUUUGGACUGCCCUUACGAAUUGGCUCACAUAACGGGCCGGUGUUUGUGGCUGACUUGGUACAGAAGACAGCAAAGGCAUUAGGAAUCACUUGGAAACUACAUGCCGCCUACUGACCUCAGAGUUCUGGAAAGGUGGAGCGAAUGAAUCAGACUAUCAAAAAUAGUUUAGGGAAAGUAUGUCAGGAAACAGGAUUAAAAUGGAUACAGGCCCUUCCUAUGGUAUUGUUUAAAAUUAGAUGCAUCCCUUCUAACAGGAUACUCCCCUUAUGAAAUACUGUAUCAUAGGCCUCCUCCUAUACUAGGGGGACUUCCAGGCACUCCCCGAGAGUUAGGUGAAAUUGAGUUACAGUGACAGCUACGGGCUUUGGGAAAAAUUACACAAACAAUCUCAACUUGGGUAAAUGAGAGGUGUCCCGUCAGCUUAUUCUCCCCAGUUCACCCUUUCUCUCCAAGUGAUCGCAUGUGGAUCAAGGACUGGAACGUAGUCCCUUUGCGGCCACAGUGGAAAAGACCUCACACCAUCAUCCUGACCACCCCCACGGCUGUAAAGGAGAAGGAAUCCCAGCCUGGAUCCACCACAGCCGUGUGAAACCUGCAGCUGCUGAAACUUGGGAGGCAAAACCGAGCCCAGACAACUCCUGAAAGUGACUCUGAGGAGGAUGACAAGCCCUGCUCCAGUCACACCCGGAAGCUGACUGGUCUACGCACGGCCGAGGCAUGAGGAGAAUCAUCGUGGGACUCAUUUUCCUUAUAAUUUGGACUUGUAUAGUAAAAACUUCCACUGAUUUUCCCUGCAUAGAAGACUGCUCUCAGUGUAUACAUCAGGUUACUGAGGUAGGGUAACAAGUUAAAACAAUCUUUCUGUUCUAUAGUUACUAUGAAUGCCUAGGAACUUUAAAAGGAACGUGUUUAUAUAAUGACACUCAGUACGAGGUAUGUAGCCUAGGAAACGACUGCCCAGAUGUGUGUUAUGAUCCCUCUGUGGCCUCCCAGGUCCACAGUUUUUGAAGUAAGAUUAAGGACUGAAGACUGAUGGGGACUUGUAAAUGAUACAAGUAUUAGCCAAAACAGAAGAAAAAGGGGUGCCCAAACGCAUAAUCUUGAAAUUUGAUGCCUGUGCUGUCAUUAAGAGCAAUAAGUUAGGAAGGGGUGUGGCUUUUGAUUGGGAAAAAGGCUAUAUGACCAAAAAUAAGUAUAUUUGUCAUGAAUUAGGACUGUGUGGAAAUCAAUGUGGAUACUGGUGUCAUUUGGGCCACUUGGAUAAAAAAUGAAAAGGAUCCAGUGCAGCUUCAGAAAGGAAAAAGUGGCCCUUCCUGUACUAAGGGACAAUGUAACCCCUUAGAGCUAGUAAUAACCAAUCCCCUUGAUCCUCGCUGGAAAAAAGGGGAGCGUGUGACCUUAGGAAUCAAUGGGGCUGGACUGGAUCCUCGAGUAAAUAUCUUAGUUCGAGGAGAAGUUUACAAACACUCUCCUGAGCCAGUGCUUCAAACUUUCUAUGAUGAACUAAAUGUGCCAGUACCAGAAAUUCCAGGAAAAACAAGAAAUUUGUUUUUGCAAUUAGCCAAGCAUGUAGCCUAGUCUCUCAAUGUUGCUUCACAUUAUGUAUGUGGAGGAACUGUAAUGGGAGAUCAAUGGCCACGAGAAGCCCGAGAAUUAGUACCUACAGACCCAGUUCCUGAUGAAUUCCCAGCUCAAAAGAAUCACCCUGAUAAUUUCUGGGUCCUAAAAACCUCAAUUAUUGGACAAUAUUGCAUAGCUGGAGAAGGAAAAGAAUUCACUCACCCCGUAGGAUGACUUAGUUGUCUGGGACAGAAACUGUAUAAUGGUACCACAAAAACAGUCACUUGGUGGAGUUCAAAUCACACAGAAAGGAAUCCAUUUAGUAAAUUCCCAAAGUUGCAAACCGUGUGGACCCAUCCGGAGUCCCACCAGGACUGGACAGCCCCCACUGGAUUAUACUGUAUAUGUGGGCAUAGAGCUUGUGCCAAAUUAUCCAACCAGUGGACAGGUAGUUGUGUUAUUGGCACUAUUAAACCAUCUUUCUUCCUACUGCCCAUAAAGACAGGCAAACUCCUGGGUUUCCCUGUCUAUGCUGCCCGAGAAAAGAGAAGCAUAGCUAUAGGAAAUUGGAAAGAUGAUGAAUGGCCCCCUGAGAGAAUCAUACAAUAUUACAGACCUGCUACUUGGGCACAAGAUGGCUCGUGGGGAUACUGGACCCCCAUUUACAUGCUCAACCGAAUCAUACGGUUACAAGCUGUCUUAGAAAUAAUCACUAAUAAAACUGGCAGAGCCUUGACUAUACUGCCCUGGCAAGAGUCUCAGAUGAGAAAUGCUAUCUAUCAAAAUAGAUUGGCUCUCGACUACUUGCUAGCAGCUGAAGGUGGGGGUCUGUGGGAAAUUUAACCUUACUAAUUGCUGUCUAUACACAGAUGAUGAAGGGCAAGUAGUUGAAGACAUAAUUAGAGAUAUGACAAAACUGACACAUGUGCCUGUGCAAGUGUGGCAUGGAUUUGAUCCGGGGGCCAUGUUUGAAAAAUGGUUCCCAGUGCUAGGAGGAUUUAAAACUCUUAUAAUAGGAGUUAUAAUAGUAAUAGGAACCUGCUUACUGCUCCCUUGUUUGCUACUUGUACUUCUUCAAAUGAUAAAAAGCUUCAUCACUACCUUAGCUCACCAAAAUGCUUCAGCGCAAGUGUACCAUAUGAAUCACUAUCAAUCUGUCUUGCAAGAAGACAUGGGUAAUGAGGAUGAAAGUGAGAACUCCCAUUAAUGAGUGAAGUUCUCAAAGGGGGGAAUAAGGGAGGAGACCACCCCUCAUAUUGUCUUAUGCCCAAUUUCUGCCUCCAAAGAAAGAAGUGAAAACUAAAAGGCAGAAAUGGAAUCACAGGCAGAUAGCCCAGCACUGUGCCCUGGGCCUGGUAGUUAAAAAUCAACCCUUGACCUAACCGCUUGUGCUAUCUAUAGAUUUCAGACAUUGUAUGGAAAAGCAUCGUGAAAAUCCCUGUCCUGUUCCAUUCUGAUUACCAGUGCAUGCAGCCCCCAGUCCCAUACCCCCUGCUUGCUCAAUCGAUCACGACCCUCUCACAUGGACUCCCUUAGAGCUGUAAGCCCUUAAAAGGGACAGGAAUUGCUCACUCGGGGAGCUCGGUUUUUGGAGACGUGAGUCCGCUGCUGCUCCCAGCUGAAUAAAGCCCUUUCCUUCUACAA